AUACGUAGGUGGCAAGCGUUGUCCGGAUUUACUGGGCGUAAAGGGUGCGUAGGUGGAUAUUUAAGUGAGAUGUGAAAUCCCCGAGCUUAACUUGGGGCCUGCAUUUCAAACUGGAUAUCUAGAGUGCAGGAGAGGAGAAUGGAAUUCCUAGUGUAGCGGUGAAAUGCGUAGAGAUUAGGAAGAACACCGGUGGCGAAGGCGGCAACCUGGCUCAUUACUGACGCUGAGGCGCGAAAGCGUGGGGAGC
rnacentral:rRNA from 1 species